rnacentral:rRNA from 1 species
UGGGGAAUAUUGGGCAAUGGGGGAAACCCUGACCCAGCAACGCCGCGUGAAGGAAGAAGGUUUUCGGAUUGUAAACUUCUGUCCUAAGGGAAGAAAGAAAUGACGGUACCUUAGGAGGAAGCCCCGGCUAACUACGUGCCAGCAGCCGCGGUAAUACGUAGGGGGCAAGCGUUGUCCGGAAUUAUUGGGCGUAAAGGGUGCGUAGGCGGCCGAUCAAGUCAGGUGUGAAAGACCCGUGCUUAACAUGGGGGUUGCACUUGAAACUGGUUGGCUUGAGUAUGGGAGAGGCAAGCGGAAUUCCCGGUGUAGCGGUGAAAUGCGUAGAGAUCGGGAGGAACACCAGCGGCGAAGGCGGCUUGCUGGACCAAAACUGACGCUGAGGCACGAAAGCGUGGGUAGCAAACAGGAUUAGAUACC